rnacentral:lncRNA from 1 species
CAGUUUGCUCAGACAAAUACCACUUCUGCCCCGACUUGCUGACUGGAUGAGUUAUCUCUCUGUCAUAUUUUUCUCCUCUGUAGAUGGAAAUCAGAGCAGCUACCUCACAGAGUGGCCAUGAAUACCGAAGUGAGGGCUCAUACUUGGUAAGUGUCUGUUAUUACUUUUAUUAUAGCGUGAAUGAUUGAAAGUUUUUUUCCCAGUGUCACUAUACAACCCUUUCCCACCCUGCUCCACUACAGUCCACAUAUUCCUAGCAGGAAGGGGAGGAAUUCUUUUCCUUUUCCCAUUUCAUGGGUCAGAAAACUGGGAUUGAGUGAAUAAAUGAGUGAAUGAAUGAACAAAUACCCAGCAUGCCCAGCCUGCUGCCUCCCACUCACCCCCUGGGGCUGUAGCCAGGCACUUGUCCUGUGAGCUGAGAGCCCUGGCCCCCAGAGCAGUGAUGCUGGUUUUCCGUUUCCAUCUUGCCAGCCCCAGAGGAUGGUCCAAGAGCUCAGGAGAAUUGCCUGUGUCCAGCACAGACUGGUGCAGAUCCCUUGGACCUACAGCCCCGAAGCUCACCCACUUCCAGAAUGGGGGCCCUGGUUCCUGUUCAGCCUCUGCUUUUCCUGUAAGGCCUUACAAGCCCCACUGCCCCUUCUGGAAGGCCUCAGGAGGCUCCAACAUCACACCUGAAGAAACCUGGGCAGAUCCUCUACCAGCAGCUGAACUCCUUUGGAUGACUGGGAAUGACUUUCCCCUAGAUUGACUGUGGCCCCGGCUGGCUUUCUGUUCUCCCAUUCACCACUUGAAAGAUACCAAUGGUCCUCUCUCAACCCUCACUCUCAACGUUAUGAUCAUGGCCAGGGCUCUUUGCUCUUUAAACACUAAUUCCUAGUCCUCUCUGAACUUGAGUAAAGUCUUCUGUGGUUAUUAGAGACUGAUUAAGAAAAGCACAGAACCAGCAGUGUCUCCUGAGAUCCACGCCAUGUUGGAACUUAGGACUCUGGGAAGCCAAGCAAGCACCUCCCCUCCCUGGUAAACAGUGGUGGUCUGGCUGACUGCAGCCCUUCCAGGGGGAGAACCAGCAGCAGCUCCUGAGAUUCCCCACCAUGUUGGAACUGAGGACGCUGUAAAAACAAAUGACCAUCCUGUCUCCCUGCUAAGCAAUAGUGAACCUACUGCUACAUGGCCUAGAGUCAAAUAUCCCACUUCCCCUAUCCCCCCUCCUCGCCCAUUAGCAAAUGGGAACCAGAAAUCUGAGCAUCUCUUGGGAGGUUGACCAUAGCAAAUAAGGGGGACUUCCUUCUACCAUUUCUUUGAAGGCAAAUAUUUUUAUUACUUUUUUGCUCUUUUCUGAUUAAUGGUACUGCUCUAUUCAAUAUUCUGUUUUGAUAAGUUCUAUAGUGUUCUAUAUUUCAUCUCAUUUUGAUAUAGGUGAUUGAAAGAACAACUAUUAUAAAUAUAACAAAAUAUACUGUGAUACCUAUUACUGUUAUCCUGGUAACCUGCUGUGAAGUUCUGUACCAAUUUCACUGUACGAUCUUAGUUGGCUUUAUUCUGACUUGUUCUGUUGUAUACUUUCAAAAUAAAAUUUAAAAAAAGAAAAGCACAGAAUAGAUUCUCAAGAGAAGUAACCUUUCUACUGCUUUGUCA